rnacentral:rRNA from 1 species
AUCGCUCAGAGAUGGGUCUGCGUCUGAUUAGCUAGUUGUGGGGCAACGGCCUACCAAGGCGACGAUCAGUAGCCGGUCUGAGAGGAUGAACGGCCACAUUGGAACUGAGACACGGUCCAGACUCCUACGGGAGGCAGCAGUGGGGAAUCUUCCGCAAUGGGCGAAAGCCUGACGGAGCAACGCCGCGUGAGUGAAGAAGGUCUUCGGAUCGUAAAGCUCUGUUGUCGGGGACGAAUGUAGAGGCUAUCAACAACGGCUUCUAAUGACGGUACCUGACGAGGAAGCCACGGCUAACUACGUGCC